UCCCAGGAGAUGUGUGGAGUAUGGACGUUGCUGUGGCUGAGCUCAAGAGGUUGUUGCCUGUUUUCUCCUCUAGGAUAGUGAUGGCUUUCUGUCUCACAUGUAG